UUUUUUUAAAUGGCCGCAGUAUUCUAACUGUGCAAAGGUAGCAUAAUCAUUAGUCUUUUAAUUGAAGGCUUGUAUGAAUGGUUGGACGAGGUAUUAACUGUUUCAAAUAAAUUUAUAAUAGAAUUUUAUUUUUUAGUCAAAAAGCUAAAAUUUUAUUAAAAGACGAGAAGACCCUAUAAAUCUUUACUUUUAAUUUUAUUUUAAUUAUUAAGAUAAAUUUUAUUAUAAUAAAAUUAAAAGUUUUAUUGGGGUGAUAUUAAAAUUUAAUGAACUUUUAAUUUUUAAAAACAUAGAUUCAUGAUUAAUUGAUCCAUUAAUAAUGAUUAAAAAUUUAAGUUACUUUAGGGAUAACAGCGUAAUUUUUUUGGAGAGUUCUUAUCGAUAAAAAAGAUUGCGACCUCGAUGUUGGAUUAAGAAAAAUUUUAGGUGUAGCCGCU
rnacentral:rRNA from 1 species